rnacentral:rRNA from 1 species
AUUGAACGCUGGCGGGAGGCCUAACACAUGCAAGUCGAGCGAGCGGCGGACGGGUGAGUAAUGUAUGGGGAUGUGCCCGCUAGAGGGGGAUAACUACUGGAAAGGGUGGCUAAUACCGCAUACUAUCGGAUUAGCCGAUAUGGGAUUAGCUAGUAGGUGGGUUAAAGGCUCACCUAGGCAACGAUCACUAGCUGGUCUGAGAGGACGAUCAGCCACACUGGGACUUCGACACGGCCCAGACUCCGACGGUAGGCAGCAGUGGGGAAUAUUGGACAAUGGGCGAAACCCGGAUCCAGCCAUGCCGCGUGUAUGAGGAACGCCCUAGGGUUGUAAAGUACUUUCGGCAGGGAGGCGGUACCCGCAGAAGAAGCACCGGCUAACUCCGUGCCAGCAGCCGCGGUAAUAC